CAAUAGCGUAUAUUAAAGUUGUUGCAGUUAGAACGCUCGUAGUCGGAUUUCGGGGCGGGCCGACCGGUCUGCCGAUGGGUACGCACUGGUCGGCGCGUCCUUCCUUCCGGAGACCGUGCCUACUCUUAACUGAGCGGGUGCGGGAGACGGAUCGUUUACUUUGAAAAAAUCAGAGUGUUUCAAGCAGGCAGCUCGCUCUUGCAUGGAUUAGCAUGGGAUAAUGAAAUAGGACUUUGGUGCUAUUUUGUUGGUUUCGAACACCGAAGUAAUGAUUAACAGGGACAGUCAGGGGCACUCGUAUUCCGCCGAGAGAGGUGAAAUUCUCAGACCAGCGGAAGACGAACUACUGCGAAANCANNNGCCAGGGAUGUUUUCACNGA
rnacentral:rRNA from 1 species